GUGUGAGUAAGUCCUUCCGAAGGGAUGAGGCCGCCGUAUGGUGGGUGGGACUGAGUAGGAAGGGUUCACCA
rnacentral:sRNA from 1 species